CCUACGGGAGUCAGCAGUGAGGAAUAUUGGUCAAUGGUCGCAAGCCUGAACCAGCCAAGUCGCGUGAGGGAUGACGGUCCUAUGGAUUGUAAACCUCUUUUGUCGGGGAGCAAGGCCCGCCACGUGUGGCGUGAAGUAGAGUACCCGAAGAAAAAGCAUCGGCUAACUCCGUUCCAGCAGCCGCGGUAAUACGGGGGAUGCGAGCUGUAUCCGGAUUUAUGGGGUUUAAAGGGUGCGUAGGCGGAAGGUUAAGUCAGCGGUCAAAUGUCGGUGCUAAACACCGGCAUGCCGUUGAAACUGGUCUUCUUGAGUGAGCGAGAAGUAUGGGGAAUGCGUGGUGUAGCGGUGAAAUGCAGAGAUAUCACGCAGAACUCCGAUUGCGAAGGCAGCAUACCGGCGCUCAACUGACGCUGAGGCACGAAAGCGUGGGGAUCGAACAGGAUUAGAUACCCGGGUAGUC
rnacentral:rRNA from 1 species